UCUCGUCCCUCCGCCGCCACCUUCCAAAUCCACCUCGGGAUCCUUCCAUUCCUCCACCCACCAACCAGCCUCCGAUUUCCUUGAUCCACCCAUCCAGCCUCGUCUCGCCUCCCGCGCCUGCCCGCAUCGAACCAGAGGAGACCGAGCCAUCCCGUAGCCGCCGCCUCCUGCCCGAGCGUUUUCCUCCUCCCUGCCUCGCUCGAACCCAAAGGAGAGGAGCUCCUCGAGCCCCCUCAACUUCAGCGCCCGGCCUCGGCUGCAGCCGCCCUGCCGGCGACUAGCACCACCGUGGAGCACCAGACCAUGACCACCGUCUCGUGUCGUCGGACCUCGAUGAGAACCUCGCCCGCACCUCCUCUGCCCCACGCCACGGACCAGCGUCCAGCCUUCGUUCCCAUGUUGUUCCUCGCGCACCAGACCUCCCCGCUGCCGAUCCUCUUCCACAGCACGCCGGCGCCACCACUCCUCGUUUUGACCCAGUCCAGCUAAGAUCGACCCCGCGGCCUCGGAUCCCGGCGACCCCAGUUCGUCGUUGCUGCGCCAAGUCCCGCUGCCGCCCCGCCGUUGACCUUCAACGCCGUCGAUCUGCCCCUGUCGAGCAGAGAAUGAGCGAGCAGCGCUGCUCGCGCUCGAUCCCCUGGCACGCGUUGACCAGAACCUGCGCCUGGGCCGUGUCUCGCGCGAGGCCUAGCAACCACUUCUAGCAGGCCUACCUCCUGCUUCGCCGCCUUGGGCCGAAGCCCAUGGUUCCGAUAAUGUCGCGUUUGUGAGGAUCCGUUCGACUUUGUCCGUGUGUCUUCUUCA